CAGAGAUAUGCUUGCUAUAGUUGGAAAUUGGUACCAUGUCGGUUGGUUUUGCUUGGCAAGAUUUGUGACGAUGCGUCGGACAAACAACAUUGGAAUAAGAUACAGCCUUGAGCCUUGGCAAGUUAACACAUUAGUUAGGGUUAUGAAGUUUUUCAUGGAACUGACACAUUAUUGAGCAGUAGCGCAUCAGAUGACCAGUGUAUAUCUCUACUUGAGGAAUUCUCCAAAGAUCCAGAGCCGAUUGUUUCAUAGAGCUGUGAAGUUGCUCUAAACAUACUGGAUUUUGAACGAUCCGGCAAACCAUUCGAGUACAUCUUUAUGUAGGCACCUCAAUUGCAGGAGGCGGCAUGAUGGUUUCACUUUGUUGUGUGUUUUGUUACCAUUGAGUACUAAAUGGCAUACAUUUGGAUAGAGUUUUGAAUGAUUUACUCAACAUUAUUAUUUGAAUGGUU